CCGCUAUUACCACCAACCAGGUGAUCAAAAGUACGCCCAGUACUCCAAAAUUAUUUUGCAAUCUGCCUCUAUUAUCACCAACCAGGUGACCAAAAGUACGCCCAGUACUCCAAAAUCAUUCGGCAACCUGUCGCUAUUACCACCAACCAGGUGAUAAAAUGUACAACCUGUACUCUAAUAUCAUUUGGCAACUAGCCAUUCAUGCCACCAACCAGGUGAUGAAAUGUACAACCCGUACUCUCUUUCAUACCACCAACC
rnacentral:lncRNA from 1 species